AGCCCGUCGAAUGCUGGAUGAACGCUCAAAUUAUUCAAAACCCACGCGCACGUCUCUUCUCACGCAAGGAGCCCCUUACGACGCUGGGCCCCACCCGCCACAAGGACCAAAAAAUGCUUUGUCUGUGUGUCCGGCCCAGUACGUAUACGUACAUUGCUGCAGGAGGCCCCCUCUCAAAAAAAAAUCAUGAAAAGUCGUGCCCUGCUCAGUGGUCUACCCCGUCUUUCCGCUUCGUCCCGGCCCGGGCACACGCGACGGAAGCGAAACCCUCUCCCUAUAAAACCUCUCGACUAGUCACGUCCGCUUGGCAGGGACCAGUCCAUCUCGUCUCGUCCCAGCAAAGCAAAGGCAGCCAUGCCCCACAGUCUCUUCCUGCUCGUCGUCCUCCUCGCCGCCGCGCAAGCCAGCGCGGCCACGCCGCGGCAGCUGUUCCUCGUGAGCCGGCCGCCCAUCACGCUCACCAACCACCACGGCCAGCUGCUGACGGGCAACUACUCCGUCAACCUGCUCUGGUACGGGCGUUUCACGCCGGCGCAGCGCGCCGUGGUGGCCGACUUCAUCCUCUCCCUCUCGGGGACGGGGCCGGGGUCCGUGGCGGCGUGGUGGGCCACGACGUCGCGGUACCAUCCUGGCGCAGCACGGCUGUCGCUGGGGCGACAGGUGCUGGACCCGUCGCGCUCCCUAGGCCGCCGCCUCUCGGAGUCGUCGCUAGCGUCCCUGGCGACGCGCCUGGCCCCGCACCGCGGCUCCGUGGCGGUCGUGGUGACGGCGCCGGACGUGCUCGUGGACGGGUUCUGCCUCUCCCGCUGCGGCCUCCACGCGUCGUCCCCGACCCCGAACGCCACCCGCGGGCGUGGCCGCGGGCGGUACGUGUACGCGUGGGUGGGGAACCCCGCGGAGCAGUGCCCGGGGGAGUGCGCAUGGCCCUUCCACCAGCCGCUCUACGGCCCGCAGCCGGCGGCGGCGCCGCUGGUGGCCCCGAACGCGGACGUCGGGAUGGACGGCGCGGUGAUCACGCUGGCCACGCUGCUGGCGGGCGCGGUGACCAACCCGUACGGCGGCGGCUUCUUCCAGGGCCCCGCGGAGGCGCCGAUGGAGGCCGUCACGGCGUGCGCGGGCGUGUUCGGGGCCGGCGCCUACCAGGGGUACCCGGGGCAGCUGCGCGUGGACGCCGCCACGGGCGCCAGCUACAACGCCGUGGGGAUCGCCGGCCGACGCUUCCUGCUGCCGGCCAUGUGGGACCCCGAAACAGCGCAGUGCUCCACGCCGCUGGACUAGAUAGAUAGAUAGAUGCCCGUGCCGCCGUGCAUGACUGUGGUGGAGUCGAGUGUCGGUGCUGCUGUUUCUUACUUUCUUUCUCGUGUCCCCUCCCUCGCAUUGUGGAUAUACCACUCACCAACCAUUUCGUUUGUGGCUUACUACUACUACUCCGGAGGGUUGGUGGUUAACGUUUUGGAAGAGCAACAGCAAUGGAGCAGCCAGCAGAGCCUCUGCAUGGAAAAGUAGCGAAAGGCAAUGGCAAGGACAGGCAUGGCAGCAGGAGGGAGCGUCCUGUCCUUGCUGCCGUGCACAGGGCACCGCACACUGUGCCCCGACCCCGAGCGAGAAGCAAGAGAGAAAGGACAACAGGGUCGGAGGGCG
rnacentral:misc_RNA from 1 species